CCUUGUUGAAAAAAUAAGCACAAAAACAUGCUAUUAAGGAAUAAGAUAAAUUCUAAUUCUAGCAUGUAAGAUAAGAGCAAACAUGUCCUCAUAAAGAUGUUUGAAAUUACCAAAACAUAAAAGCAGUCAUCCGACGUGCUUUUUCUGUCAUCCUCAUAAAAUACCUUUAAAAAUUAUUCUCAAGAUACGAAUAGAAAAUAUGAGGAUAAAAAAAUAUGGUUCUAAGCAAAAUAAGACAGAAACACCCAAAGCAAUACAAACAAACCUGACAUGCUCUAGGAUUAGGAACCAAAAUCCUAGGCAUGUUGUGUUCUCACCACUAGGUGAGUCCACUCCCUCUCACAGGGUGAAUGGUCUAAUCAUUUCUGACCCAAACCUUCUUGAUCCCCAGAGCAAGAUUGUGGGCUUUGUCCAAGUUGUCCAGGCAACUCGGGACAUUCUGCAUCAUGCUUAGCAACCCUUCAUAGACAUGGUUGCUGUGACGCUCUGAUUUGUUGUUUCUGGGCUUACCACUCUGUCUGUUGGUAAGAACAAAUCUCAAUUGUUGCCGCUGAUGCCAUGAAUCUUGAUGUGCCUUUGGAGGUUGAGUGCCUGAUGUUUCUUUCUUUGGCAGUUCCUUCUUGACCUUCGGCUUUUGAACUUGCAACUGUGAAUAAUUGGGUCGGAUGUGACCGCUGAUGCCACAAUAAUGGAGCAUCCUUCUUAUUCCAAGUCCUCGAGGAAUUUAACUGACCACAAUUUGGUCUAAUGUGUCCCACCAUCCCACAAUAAUGACAUGUAGGUAAGCUUUUCAUUGUGGAAUGCUUAGGUCUUGCCGGUGUAAUGUUAGAAUUCUCACAAGAAAUCACAAUUGCCUUACUUUUGUCUUCAUAGGCAUUCUAAGGCUCUGGAAUUGAGGGCUUCACAAACACAGUUUUUGAAGUAGAGGUAAUGUUGGAGGCAUCAGUAGUAGCUACAUACUCGAGACCGGUCUCGUUAGAUGAACACUUCUGUCCUGUCAGCAUCUGGGCUAGCUUGUUGUCUGAGAACUUCUCCAACUGUAACUGUGCAUCGAUCAGUUUAUCUUCGAAGUCCAUUAUCUUCUGAAGUAAUGUGCUUUUUCCUGUCUUCACAGUGCUUAGCUCCAUCACAUUAUUCUGAUUA